AAUGUUCCGCAAUGUACGAAAGUCUGACGGAGCAACACGGCUUGCGGGACGAAGGUGGUCGGAUCGUAAAACUCGGCCGUUAGGGCCGACAAAAUAUCGGAGUCACUGCGGGUAGCUUGACGGUACCUGAAGAGAAAGCCAUGGUUCACUACGUGCAGGACGCCGCGGUAAUACGUAGGUGGCAAGCGUUGUCCGGAUUUAUUGGGCGUAAAGCGCGCGCAGGCGGUCUUUUAAGUCUGAUGUGAAAUCUUACAGCUUAACUGUAAGCGGUCAUUGGAAACUGGGAGACUUGAGUGCAGAAGAGGAGAGUGGAAUUCCCUGUGUAGCGGUGAAAUGCGUAGAGAUAUGGAGGCACACCCGUGGCCAAGGCGACUCUCUGGUCUGUAACUGACGCUGAGGCGAGGAAGCGUGGGUAGCGAACA
rnacentral:rRNA from 1 species